ACAUGCGCAGUAGACAAGUGUAGAUCAAUGAUGAAGACAUUAACAGUUGACCUUGUUGUUACAUCUUUAUGUCUUUUUGAAGCACUUCUCUUGGCUUACUGUGGUCAAGAGAUACCUCUCAGCAAUAAUCAAGUUCCUGGUUGCUACAGUACUAACGAUACUGCUGUGUUUGCGUGUACUGUAAUGGAUUCUAGUCACUUUUAUGGAACAGACUGGAGUGGUACUGUCUUCAACUGCCCCUCAGCAAACUCAAUCAAGGGCACAGAAGUGAAUGGUUCAUUGUAUACAUCAGUGCUUACUAUAGCGCCAGUUACCCCAGACAUGAAUGGGCAAACCAUCAUCUGUUCAGUUUCAGGGAUUACAGUGAUUGGUACAG